rnacentral:rRNA from 1 species
GUUCGGUCUCGGAGUCGGUGACGAGGUGCGUGCAUGGCUGUCGUCAGCUCGUGUCGUGAGAUGUUCGGUUAAGUCCGCUAACGAGCGCAACCCUCGCCGUAUGUUACAAGUGUCAUACGGGACUGCCGGUAAAAAGCCGGAGGAAGGUGAGGAUGAUGUCAAGUCAGCAUGACCUUUAUAUCCAGGGCUACACACACGCUACAAUGGUCUGUACAAUUGGUUGCCAAGCCGCGAGGCGGAGCCAAUCCGUAAAGCAGGCCUCAGUUCAGAUUGCAGUCUGCAACUCGACUGCAUGAAGCCGGAGUUGCUAGUAACCGCAGGUCAGCAAUACUGCGGUGAAUACGUUCCCGGGUCUU